CGGGAGGGUGCAAGCGUUAUCCGGUAUUUACGUUAGGGGUUUAAAGGGUGCGUAGGGUGGGUCUGUAAGUCAGUGGUGAAAUCUUCGAGCUUAACUCGGAAACUGCCAUUGAUACUAUAGGUCUUGAAUCAUCUGGAGGUGAGCGGAAUAUGUCAUGUAGCGGUGAAAUGCUUAGAUAUGACAUAGAACACCGAUUGCGAAGGCAGCUCACUACGGAUGUAUUGACACUGAGGCACGAAAGCGUGGGGAUCAAACAGGAUUAGAUACCCUGGUAGUCCACGCCCUAAACGAUGGAUACUCGACAUUUGCGAUAUACUGUAAGUGUCUGAGCGAAAGCAUUAAGUAUCCCACCUGGGAAGUACGAUCGCAAGAUUAG
rnacentral:rRNA from 1 species